rnacentral:misc_RNA from 1 species
GUUUGCGAAAGAUGGUUUUAAAUAACAGCUGUUACGUAAUGCGACUAACAUGACAGCCGUUAUUUAUAGGUAAAUAAGAGAAUCAUUACCCUUUACCCUGUUAGUUAAAGGCAGAUUUUGAAAUGCAUGAGUGUCACCACCAUUACUUAAUGGUAACAGUUGUUAUUUACCGUUACGUAACGAUAACGGCUGUGACUUAAUAAUUCAGCUUUAUACAAAUCACAUGGCAGCAGUGUUUUCUAAGCUUUCUUUAAUUCUCUAUG